GAUGAACGCUAGCGGCAGGCUUAAUACAUGCAAGUCGAACGGGAUUCGAGGUAGCAAUACUUUGAUGAGAGUGGCGCACGGGUGCGUAACGCGUAUGCAACCUACCUUUAACAGGUGAAUAGCCCCGAGAAAUCGGGAUUAAUACACCGUAACAUUGCGCUGUGGCAUCACAGUGCAAUUAAAGAUUUAUCGGUUAAAGAUGGGCAUGCGUGACAUUAGCUAGUUGGUGAGGUAACGGCUCACCAAGGCAACGAUGUCUAGGGGUCCUGAGAGGGUUAUCCCCCACACUGGUACUGAGACACGGACCAGACUCCUACGGGAGGCAGCAGUAAGGAAUAUUGGUCAAUGGGCGCAAGCCUGAACCAGCCAUGCCGCGUGCAGGAAGACGGCCCUAUGGGUUGUAAACUGCUUUUGUCAGGGAAUAAACCUGUCUACGUGUAGACAGCUGAAGGUACCUGAAGAAUAAGCAUCGGCUAAACUCCGUGCCAGCAGCCGACGG
rnacentral:rRNA from 1 species